GCCCCUGUAGUCUAGUCCGGAUAGAAUGGGAGGUUGCGGACCUCCUGGCCCGGGUUCAAAUCCCGGCAGGGGCA
rnacentral:tRNA from 1 species